rnacentral:lncRNA from 1 species
AUUAUCAUGCAUCUUAAUGGGAGGCUAUGAUCUAGUUAUCUCAUAACUAGCUCAUUUUAUGGACCUAAUAAUUUAGAAGAUUUGGUUAAUACAUUUUAGAAGUAAUCAACCAAUCUGCAAGUCAGAAAUCCUCUCACUGACUUCACCAAAUCAUGUAAAGGACUAGUGACCCCAACCAGUAAGUCAUAAAUCCUCCUACUAACUUCAUCAAGUUAUGAGAAGAAUUAGAGACA